UACGGAGGAUGCGAGCGUUAUCCGGAUUUAUUGGGUUUAAAGGGUGCGCAGGCGGCACGGCAAGCCGGCGGUCAAAUCGCGGGGCUCAACCCCGCCCAGCCGUCGGAACUGCCGGGCUAGAGUGGGCGAGAAGUGCGCGGAAUGCGUGGUGUAGCGGUGAAAUGCAUAGAUAUCACGCAGAACUCCGAUUGCGAAGGCAGCGCACCGGCGCCCUACUGACGCUCAGGCUCGAAAGCGUGGGGAGCAAACAGG
rnacentral:rRNA from 1 species